UUCAAGUUUCAGGUGUCCUAAAUUAUCUUGUAUUUUUAGAUUGCUCGGAGUCUUGAAAGUCCUAUGGUCUGUGCUCUUGUGUGGCCGAUGACAAAAGAGCGAAGUGUCUGUGUUAAUCCUCUUAUCUUGGCCUUGCCCACAGCAUAAACAGAAGUGGCGUGAUGACAAAAGCCAUAAACAUGGCCGGGAAGGCGAAAGUAACUGUAGCAAAGGUACUGUGUUUUAAAAAACGUCAACUAAACGUCAACUAUACUCUACAGAGUUCACUUGGAGAUCGAAUUAAGUCAUGUUGAUCACGCAUAAAUUUUCCAAUGGGCUAAUAAUCCCCAUUAUAGACUAAUUAAUUAGGCAAGGAAAUGCAAAUAAAUCACCAUAGCUAGAAAGAGCGUACUAAAAUUAAUAAAAUUGCAAAGUUUGGUUGCGAAAUGUUGUAAAAUGCGGAAAAUUACUACCAUUACUAGCAAUUUCCAAUUUCCGCACGCAAUACUAAAGUAUCCAAAAUUUGCGAACUUAAUUUGUGCAAGGCUAUAUUUUCCGCAUUUUACAACAUUUCGCAACCAAACUUUGCAAUUUUACUCAUUUUAGUAUGUUCUUUCCGAAAAUAUACUUUUUUUGCCAAGAUAAAAAAUUAGUCUAUAAUGGGAAUUGUCAAUUACGCAUUCAGGUUAUCCUGAACCUUUGGCUUUGCUGACCUUUGCUUAUAUCUCAUCAAUUUUUAUCCAAAUUUAUCCAAAAUUUAUUCAAUUUGUCCUUGGGCAAUGUCCAUUAGUUCUACAACUUCUUGUAUUAAGGGGCGGACCAUUAGAAAUCCCGGGAGAGGGGGGUAAAAAUUCCCCCAAAAAAAUUCGUGCAAAGAAAAAUGCCUAGAAAAAAAUUCGCGCAGCCAUUACGUCAGAGAAAAAAAAAUCGUAGCAAAGUGCAAAUAGUCUUGAAAAAAAAUUCUUGCAGAGGUUAAAUGCAUAAAAAAAUCCUGCAGAGACAUAAGACUGAAAAAAACAUCGUGCCGCAAAAAUGUUAUACCCCCCCCCCUCCCAGGAUUUCUAAUGGUCCCCCCUAAUACGUUUGAUAUUUUUAUCACGCUGACAGACAGGCAAACUCACACACUGCGCGGAUCACGCGCACGUCGAGGAAACACAAUGCCAUAUAGUAAAUUAUAUUUUUAGUCGUACCUGACUGGUACUCCAAUAAUUAUUAUUGCCAUGUAUACUUGAGCUGAUAUAAACGUAUGACUCAAGGGGUACUUUAAGGGACGGACCAUUAGAAAAGUGAUGUGGGGGGGGGGACUUUUUCAACUUGUACGAAUAUUUUUUUUUAAUUUUUUGCUUGUGUCGAUAAUUUUUUAAAAUAUAAUCCCUUGCACGAAUUGUUUUUUGUUUCAACUUAUAAUUUUUUCUAUUGAAAAGUCUCUGCACGAAUUUUUGUUUUCAAACUUUUUUGGUUUACGAAUGUUUUUUUCUUUCUGUUUCCCCGGCUCGAUUUUUAUUUUUGUUUCCCCCCCCCCCCCCAUCACUUUUCUAAUGGUCCUUGCCCACAGCAUAAACAGAAGUGGCGUGAUGAAAGCAAUAAACAUGCCCGGGAAGGCUUUCACGCAACAACUGAACAGCCAGGAGAAAGUAAGGCUGUAGCAAAGGGGUGGUUUCGAAAACGAAGACCUACGAAAACGAAGACCGAAGACCUAAGAUGGGUCUUCGUUACUACGAAAACGAAGACCCAUCUU